GAUGAACGCUGGCGGCGUGCCUAAUACAUGCAAGUCGAGCGAACGGACGAGAAGCUUGCUUCUCUGAUGUUAGCGGCGGACGGGUGAGUAACACGUGGAUAACCUACCUAUAAGACUUGGAUAACUUCGGAAAACCGGAGCUAAUACCGGAUAAUAUUUUGAACCGCAUGGUUCAAAAGUUAAAGACGGUCUUGCUGUCACUUAUAGAUGAAUCCGCGCUGCAUUAGCUAGUUGGUAAGGUAACGGCUUACCAAGGCAACGAUGCAUAGCCGACCUGAGAGGGUGAUCGGCCACACUGGAACUGAGACACGGUCCAGACUCCUACGGGAGGCAGCAGUAGGGAAUCUUCCGCAAUGGGCGAAAGCCUGACGGAGCAACGCCGCGUGAGUGAUGAAGGUCUUCGGAUCGUAAAACUCUGUUAUUAGGGAAGAACAUAUGUGUAAGUAACUGUGCACAUCUUGACGGUACCUAAUCAGAAAGCAACGGCUAACUACGUG
rnacentral:rRNA from 1 species